UACGAAGGGGGCUAGCGUUGCUCGGAAUCACUGGGCGUAAAGCGCACGUAGGCGGAUUGUUAAGUCAGGGGUGAAAUCCUGGAGCUCAACUCCAGAACUGCCUUUGAUACUGGCGAUCUCGAGUCCGGGAGAGGUGAGUGGAGCUGCGAGUGUAGAGGUGAAAUUCGUAGAUAUUCGCAAGAACACCAGUGGCGAAGGCGGCUCACUGGCCCGGUACUGACGCUGAGGUGCGAAAGCGUGGGGAGCAAACAGG
rnacentral:rRNA from 1 species